rnacentral:rRNA from 1 species
AGAACGAACGCUGGCGGCAUGCCUAACACAUGCAAGUCGAACGAACCCUUCGGGGUUAGUGGCGCACGGGUGCGUAACGCGUGGGAAUCUGCCCUUCGGUUCGGAAUAACAGUUAGAAAUGACUGCUAAUACCGGAUAAUGUCGCAAGACCAAAGAUUUAUCGCCGAGGGAUGAGCCCGCGUAGGAUUAGCUAGUUGGUGAGGUAAAGGCUCACCAAGGCGACGAUCCUUAGCUGGUCUGAGAGGAUGAUCAGCCACACUGGGACUGAGACACGGCCCAGACUCCUACGGGAGGCAGCAGUGGGGAAUAUUGGACAAUGGGCGAAAGCCUGAUCCAGCAAUGCCGCGUGAGUGAUGAAGGCCCUCGGUCGUAAAGCUCUUUUACCAGGGAUGAUAAUGACAGUACCUGAGAAUAAGCUUCCGGCUAACCUCGUGCCAGCGAGCCGAC